rnacentral:lncRNA from 10 species
GCCUUCCAGAGGCCGAGGUGGCUCCACCACAGCUUCUGUCCGGUGGUGACCAGCACUGAUCUCCGGAGCCAAGGGAGGACCCGGGACACCUGGGAGCCGGGAAAUGUUUUCCAUGGCUCCGAGACAAUGACACCGCUUCAGUGUGAACUCUCAUGAAUUGAGUCUAGAUCCCCAGUGCUGUCCGUCUCACCUGUCCUCCUCUACACAUAUCUGGGAUAUGUCACGGCUUGGUGGUCUUUGAAGAUGUGACUCUGAACUUCAUCCAGAAGGAGUAGGCUUUGCUGGAUUUUUCCGUGAAGAAUCUGUAGAGAUGUGAUGAGGGAAGCCAUCAGCACCUGGCUUCUAUAGCUGCAGCCCAAGAGGCCAACUGGAACGUUAACAUCAGACACUAAUCCAGCUGACUGGUAAGAUCUGCCCUCCCCUGGCUUUCUCAUG